rnacentral:lncRNA from 1 species
UUUGGUAAGGCCCAAUACGAAAAAGCCCAAUGGGAGCAUCUAAAGGAGAAGCAUGAAAACAACCAUGAAAAACACAUGAUAAGCAUGAUCCACCAUGACUUGGAGAAGAAGGAAGAAACUUGGAGAAGAAGGAAGAAGCUUGGAGAAGAAGGAAAAUAAACCACCCACUACCCAUGACUUCCUCUCCAAGCAAGGCAGUUACUUAAGAAACAAGAGGAGAUUUUUUACCUAUAAAUAGGGUCUGUUUCAAGAGAAGGGGGAGAACUUUUCACUGAUUCUACAUAGACUCACUCUCAUCAUGAGAAACCACCAUAUUUUCAUUCUUGUAAAGAGAUUCAAUUUCUUCUCCGACAUACUUGU